rnacentral:rRNA from 1 species
UACGUAGGGGCCAAGCGUUGUCCGGAUUUAUUGGGCGUAAAGAGCGUGUAGGCGGCCUGGUAGGUCAGCUGUGAAAACUCGAGGCUCAACCUCGAGACGCCGGUUGAAACCAUCAGGCUAGAGUCCGGAAGAGGAGAGUGGAAUUCCCGGUGUAGCGGUGAAAUGCGCAGAUAUCGGGAAGAACACCCGUGGCUAAGGCGGCUCUCUAGUACGGUACUGACGCUGAGACGCGAAAGCGUGGGGAGCGAACAGG